ncrna:Nicotiana tabacum cultivar TN90 Ntab-TN90_scaffold2214, whole genome shotgun sequence
AGGAGCCGUAUGAGGUUAGAAUCUCAUGUACGGUUCUGUAAUAGGGAUGGACACAGUAAUUUUAUCAUCGACUAUGAU